rnacentral:SRP_RNA from 1 species
GCCGGGUGAGGUGGCCCAUGCCUGUCGUCCCAGCUACUCGGGAGGCUGAGGUGGGAGGAUCGCUUGAGCCCAGGAGUUCUGGGCUGCAGUGCGCUAUGCCAGUCGGGUGUCCACACUAAGUUCGCCAUCAAUAGGGUGACCUCCCGGGAGUGGGGGACCACCAGGUUGCCUAAGGAGGGGUGAACCGGCCCAGGUCGGAAAUGGAGCAGGUCAAAACUCCCGUGCUGAUCAGCAGCGGGAUCGCGUCUGUGCAUAGCCACUACCAGCCAGCCUUGGCAACAUAGCAAGACCCCGUCUCA